ACGCUGGCGGCGUGCCUAAUACAUGCAAGUAGAACGCUGAAGGAGGAGCUUGCUCUUCUGGAUGAGUUGCGAACGGGUGAGUAACGCGUAGGUAACCUGCCUGGUAGCGGGGGAUAACUAUUGGAAACGAUAGCUAAUACCGCAUAAGAGUAGAUGUUGCAUGACAUUUGCUUAAAAGGUGCAAUUGCAUCACUACCAGAUGGACCUGCGUUGUAUUAGCUAGUUGGUGUGGUAACGGCUCACCAAGGCGACGAUACAUAGCCGACCUGAGAGGGUGAUCGGCCACACUGGGACUGAGACACGGCCCAGACUCCUACGGGAGGCAGCAGUAGGGAAUCUUCGGCAAUGGACGGAAGUCUGACCGAGCAACGCCGCGUGAGUGAAGAAGGUUUUCGGAUCGUAAAGCUCUGUUGUAAGAGAAGAACGAGUGAGAGAGUGGAAAGUUCACACUGUGACGGUAUCUUACCAGAAAGGGACGGCUAACUACGUGCCAGCAGCCGCGGUAAUACGUAGGUCCCGAGCGUUGUCCGGAUUUAUUGGGCGUAAAGCGAGCGCAGGCGGUUAGAUAAGUCUGAAGUUAAAGGCUGUGGCUUAACCAUAGUACGCUUUGGAAACUGUUUAACUUGAGUGCAGGAGGGGAGAGUGGAAUUCCAUGUGUAGCGGUGAAAUGCGUAGAUAUAUGGAGGAGCACCGGUGGCGAAAGCGGCUCUCUGGCUUGUAACUGACGCUGAGGCUCGAAAGCGUGGGGAGCAAACAGGAUUAGAUACCCUGGUAGUCCACGCCGUAAACGAUGAGUGCUAGGUGUUAGACCCUUUCCGGGGUUUAGUGCCGUAGCUAACGCAUUAAGCACUCCGCCUGGGGAGUACGACCGCAAGGUUGAAACUCAAAGGAAUUGACGGGGGCCCGCAC
rnacentral:rRNA from 1 species